AAAAAUGACAUGAAAUCCAUUAAAAUCAUCCCUUCAAAGAGAUGUUAUAGUGCAGAUCAAAUAUACAAACUGAAUAAUAGUUGAAAGAACCAUUCAAAAAUGAAUACUUGUUCAACUAGUGUAACUGUUGAGAGACAAGACAAGAAGAGCAGCAAUUUGUGUAAUCGAGAUUGAACCAAAAAACAUCAACUAAUUAAGAGAGUUUACGAUAGUGCUCACUCCAUUUGUAGUGAGUCUAGUGACCAAGUGAAAUUCCUCUUUGGCUUGAGCUUGGGGAUCGUUCUCGUUUUUGUAGGAAUAAAGCCCCAGAUUACAGGUAAAAUGCUUCAAAAGUACCACCAGCCUGCAAAUAAAGGCAGCAUAUAAUUGAAGGACGGCUAUGUAAAUAGGCAAUACAUAUGCAAUGCUAUAUGCAUUCCGCAGCAGAUGGAAAAACAGGUGUCAACUUUAAUAUGCUUGGUGAAAGAGAGGCCCAUCAAUUCAGUAUACACAAAUUAUAAGGUAGCAGAAUGUAGAGUACAAGUAGAUUACGAGAUGCAGAGUUGUACGGCCAUAUGCAAUAAACUGAUGUCUGAGGAUUGUAAUAAGCUCUAUAUCAGAGCUUAAACAGUUCGGUCAAAACCGAUUGGAACCUCUUCAGAAAUCAAGCAUGCCACAGGAAUAGACUAGAGGAAUUAAUGGAAUCACAGAGUAUGCUUGGUCAGUGUCAUCUAAACAUGUCCAUGCUUGAACAGCCUUGCUUUACUAAUUCGUACAUUGGAUAAUUCAUCAACCAAUUGGAGGUUGUUUUAGGCUUGCUGCAGAACCACCGAUCUGAUCCAUCAGGAGUGUCACCAUGUAAGAAGGCAUUUCAGCAAACAGGACAUGUGCGUGAGAAGAAAAGCACUGCCGUGAGAAGAAAAGGGAAGUGUAGCAGUCGAUUCGGAGAAAGGGAUGAAGAGGCAACCACCAGCGUUCCAUCGGCGAGGAAGAGAGCGAAGCACGCACUGUCGCCAGCCCGAGGUCAGCGGCGGGCGUCGCCGCAACGGAGGUGGAAGGCGACCGGGCGGGAGUCCUCCCAUGAGAACUGAAUAGCAGAGCCGUAUGGAGGAGGCCGUGACAGGCGAUGUCGACGUUCGCGCCGCGUGGGGGUUGAGCUUGGGUGGGCUGUCGGCCUGUCGCCGGAGGAGCACG
rnacentral:lncRNA from 1 species